CACACAUCACCUGUGCUCUGCAUUUUGACCAGCUGGGUGUAGAUGCUGUAAUUGUCUCCAUCUACUACAAAAAGGAAGCUUCUUCAAUGAAGGUGAGGGGUCUGCAGGCAGCCUGCCUGGGCCUGUCAGCAACAACCCAACAACUUGAGGGGCCUGCUUGCAAAUUGGACUGCUACCAGGAGGGCUCCAGGAAAUGCCAUUGCUGCAGCAGCUCGAGCGCCUUCCAGAACACACCUACACAUGUGAGAAUAAAGCCACAUACACUGA